rnacentral:misc_RNA from 1 species
AACUGAUACUACCUGCGGGAACCUGCGGAGGGAUCAUUACUGAGUGAGGGCCCUCUGGGUCCAACCUCCCACCCGUGUUUAACGAACCUUGUUGCUUCGGCGGGCCCGCCUCACGGCCGCCGGGGGGCAUCCGCCCCCGGGCCCGCGCCCGCCGAAGCCACCUGUGAACGCUGUCUGAAGUUGCAGUCUGAGAAAAUUAUUAAAUUAAUUAAAACUUUCAACAACGGAUCUCUAGAUCGG